rnacentral:rRNA from 1 species
UGGAGGUUGUGCCCUUGAGGCGUGGCUUCCGGAGCUAACGCGUUAAAUCGACCGCCUGGGGAGUACGGCCGCAAGGUUAAAACUCAAAUGAAUUGACGGGGGCCCGCACAAGCGGUGGAGCAUGUGGUAAUUCGAUGCAACGCGAAGAACCUUACCUGGUCUUGACAUCCACAGAACUUUCCAGAGAUGCAUUGGUGCCUUCGGGAACUGUGAGACAGGUGCUGCAUGGCUGUCGUCAGCUCGUGUUGUGAAAGUGGGUUAAGUCCCGCAACGAGCGCAACCCUUAUCCUUUGUUGCCAGCGGUUAGGCCGGGAACUCAAAGGAGACUGCCAGUGAUAAACUGGAGGAAGGUGGGGAUGACGUCAAGUCAUCAUGGCCCUAGACCAGGGCUACACACGUGCUACAAUGGCAUAUACAAAGAUGAAGCGACCUCGCGAGAGCAAGCGGACCUCAUAAAGUAUGUCGUAGUCCGGAUUGAAGUCUGGAACUCGACUCCAUGAAGUCUAAUGCUAGUAAUCGUACAUCAGAGU